rnacentral:rRNA from 1 species
GGUCAAGCUACAAAGGGCGCAUGGUGAAUGCCUUGGCAUCAGGAGCCGAUGAAGGACGUGAUAAGCUGCGAUAAGCUUCGGGUAGGCGCACAUAGCCUGAGAUCCGAAGAUCUCCGAAUGAGGAAACUCACAUGGGAAACCCCAUGUAUCAUUAAGUGAAUACAUAGCUUAAUGAAGGUAACCCAGGGAACUGAAACAUCUAAGUACCUGGAGGAAGAGAAAGAAAAAUCGAUUUUCUUAGUAGCGGCGAGCGAAAGGGAAAGAGCCCAAACCGGAAACUUGUUUCCGGGGUUGUGGACAUAGCAUAAAAGUGGAGGCUAUUGUAACUGAAGAGAACUGGAAAGUUCCACCGUAGAAGGUAAUAGUCCUGUAAGUGAAACGAGAAGACCACGAGUUAUGAUCCAGAGUACCACGAGACACGUGAAACCUUGUGGGAAGCAGGGAGGACCACCUCCCAAGGCUAAAUACUACCUGAUGACCGAUAGUGAAGCAGUACCGUGAGGGAAAGGUGAAAAGAACCCCGGGAGGGGAGUGAAAUAGAACCUGAAACCGUGUGCCUACAACCGCUCAGAGCCCCUUAUGAGGGUGAUGAGGUGCUUUUUGUAGAACGAGCCAACGAGUUACGGUAUGUAGCAAGGUUAAGUACUUAAGGUACGGAGCCGAAGGGAAACCGAGUCUGAAUAGGGCGACUAGUUGCAUGCCGUAGACCCGAAACCGGGUGACCUAUCCAUGGCCAGGUUGAAGCGAGGGUAAAACCUCGUGGAGGACCGAACCACGUUGCUGUUGAAAAAGCAUGGGAUGAGCUGUGGAUAGCGGAGAAAUUCCAAUCGAACCCGGAGAUAGCUGGUUCUCUCCGAAAUAGCUUUAGGGCUAGCGUCGAGUAUGAGUAGUGGAGGUAGAGCACUGAAUGGGCUAGGGGGCAUAGCGCUUACCGAACCUUAUCAAACUCCGAAUGCCACAUACUUUGAGCUCGGCAGUCAGACUACGAAUGAUAAGAUCCGUGGUCAAAAGGGAAACAGCCCAGAUCGUCAGCUAAGGUCCCAAAGUGUAAGUUAAGUGGGAAAGGAUGUGAGAUUUCUAAGACAACUAGGAUGUUGGCUUAGAAGCAGCCAUUCAUUAAAAGAGUGCGUAAUAGCUCACUAGUCGAGAGAUCUUGCGCCGAAAAUGUAACGGGGCUAAACUUACCACCGAAGCUACGGGCUUGAACUUAGUUCAAGCGGUAGGAGAGCGUCGUAACCGGGCUGAAGUCGUACCGUAAGGAGCGGUGGACUGGUUACGAGUGAGAAUGUUGGCAUCAGUAGCGAGAUGUGGGUGAGAAUCCCACAGGCCGAAAACCUAAGGUUUCCUCAGGAAGGUUCGUCCGCUGAGGGUUAGUCGGGACCUAAGCCGAGGCCGAAAGGCGUAGGUGAUGGACAACUGGUUGAUAUUCCAGUACCACUACCAUCGUUAUUAUCGAUGGCGUGACGCAGGAGGAUAGUGUGUGCUAGCUAUUGGAUGCUAGUCUAAGCGUUUAGGCAGUGAGAGUAGGCAAAUCCGCUCUCAUAAUGCUGAGGCGUGAUGGGGAAGGUUCUACGGAACCGAAGUACAUGAUUCCACGCUGCCAAGAAAAGCGUCUAGAGAGAGAAGUAGUGCCCGUACCGCAAACCGACACAGGUAGGUGAGGAGAGAAUCCUAAGGCCGGCGGAAGAAUUACAGUUAAGGAACUCGGCAAAUUGACCCCGUAAGUUCGCGAGAAGGGGUGCCUACGAGAGUAGGCCGCAGAGAAUAGGCCCAAGCAACUGUUUAGCAAAAACACAGGUCUCUGCUAAAGCGUAAGCUGAUGUAUAGGGGCUGACGCCUGCCCGGUGCUGGAAGGUUAAGGGGAACACUUAGCGCAAGCGAAGGUGUGAACUUAAGCCCCAGUAAACGGCGGCCGUAACUAUAACGGUCCUAAGGUAGCGAAAUUCCUUGUCAGGUAAGUUCUGACCCGCACGAAUGGCGUAAUGACUUGGGCACUGUCUCAACUGUAAAUCCGGCGAAGUUGUAGUGCGAGUGAAGAUGCUCGCUACCCGCGAUUGGACGGAAAGACCCCGUAGAGCUUUACUGUAGCUUAGCAUUGAGUUUUGGUAUUGUCUGUACAGGAUAGGUGGGAGACUAGGAAACCAGGGCGUCAGCCUUGGUGGAGUCAACCUUGGGAUACCACCCUGACAGUACUGAAAUUCUAACUGGCGGCCAUGAAUCUGGUCACAGGACAUUGUUAGGUGGGCAGUUUGACUGGGGCGGUCGCCUCCUAAAAAGUAACGGAGGCGCCCAAAGGUUCCCUCAGAACGGUCGGAAAUCGUUCGAAGAGUGCAAAGGCAGAAGGGAGCCUGACUGCGACACCCACAAGUGGAGCAGGGACGAAAGUCGGGCUUAGUGAUCCGGUGGUACCUCGUGGGAGGGCCAUCGCUCAACGGAUAAAAGCUACCUCGGGGAUAACAGGCUGAUCUCCCCCAAGAGUCCACAUCGACGGGGAGGUUUGGCACCUCGAUGUCGGCUCGUCGCAUCCUGGGGCUGAAGUAGGUCCCAAGGGUUGGGCUGUUCGCCCAUUAAAGCGGCACGCGAGCUGGGUUCAGAACGUCGUGAGACAGUUCGGUCCCUAUCCGUCGCGGGCGUAGGAAAUUUGAGAGGAGCUGUCCUUAGUACGAGAGGACCGGGAUGGACUGACCUCUGGUGUACCAGUUGUUCCGCCAGGAGCACAGCUGGGUAGCUAAGUCGGGAAUGGAUAAACGCUGAAAGCAUCUAAGCGUGAAGCCAACCUCAAGAUGAGAUUUCCCAUAGCGUAAGCUAGUAAGAUCCCUUGAAGAACACAAGGUUGAUAGGUCGGGGGUGUAAGCAUGGUAACAUGUUCAGCUGA